GUGGGCGGGGCCUCUGGAGAGCUCCCGGGGGCUCUCUUCUGUUCUGCAGCGAGUAGGCGUGGCUCGUAGCUCCCAGGUCCGGGCUGAUACCGCUGGAGUAUGCAGUUCGCCGCCGCGCCCGAAUGAGGCGGGGCCUGCGACCCACAUCCAGUCUCUCAGCAAAUCCUGUUGGCUUCACUUUCAAAAGAGAUCCAGAAUCUGACCACUCCUGGACACCUUCUUUGCCACCCACCCCCGGCCCAGGUGGCUAGCAACGCCAAUCUAGAUUUCCCCAACAGCCUCUCCCGUGGUGUCUCUCUUGCCCUCUCCAUCCUGCCAGAGGGAUCCUUUCAAAAUCCAAGUCAGAUCUGAUCACUUCUCCAUUCAGAACCCUCUGAGCCCCCCAUCUCGCUUAGAGGAAGGGCCACAGUCCUUGCCAUGGCCUCCUGGUCUAUGUCAUCUGCCUCCAAACUCUGGCCUCAUUGCUGUUCCUUAAAUGCUCCAGACACUCUGCCUCACAGCCUUGGUCUUGGCUGUUCCUGCUGCCUGGAAUGCUCUUCCUCCA
ensembl:lncRNA novel transcript